GAUGAACGCUGGCGGCGUGCCUAAUACAUGCAAGUCGAGCGAACAGAUGAGGAGCUUGCUCCUCUGACGUUAGCGGCGGACGGGUGAGUAACACGUGGAUAACCUACCUAUAAGACUGGGAUAACUACGGGAAACCGGAGCUAAUACCGGAUAAUAUAUUGAACCGCAUGGUUCAAUAGUGAAAGACGGUUUUGCUGUCACUUAUAGAUGGAUCCGCGCCGCAUUAGCUAGUUGGUAAGGUAACGGCUUACCAAGGCAACGAUGCGUAGCCGACCUGAGAGGGUGAUCGGCCACACUGGAACUGAGACACGGUCCAGACUCCUACGGGAGGCAGCAGUAGGGAAUCUUCCGCAAUGGGCGAAGGCCUGACGGAGCAACGCCGCGUGAGUGAUGGAGGUCUUCGGAUCGUAAAACUCUGUUAUUAGGGAAGAACAAAUGUGUAAGUAACUAUGCACGUCUUGACGGUACCUAAUCAGAAAGCCACGGCUAACUACGUG
rnacentral:rRNA from 1 species